UGAAUUGAGGAAGGCUGUCCCUAGUACGAGAGGACCGGGACGGACGGAGCUCUGGUGUGUCAGUUGUCUUGCCAAAGGCACGGCUGAUUAGCCACCUCCGGAAGGGAUAACCGCUGAAAGCAUCUAAGCGGGAAGCCCGUUCCAAGAUGAGUUCACCCAUGCAGUUAAUGCAGUAAGGCCCGUGGCGAGACCACCACGUUGAUAGGCCGGAAGUGUACAGAUGGCAACAUCUUCAGCUGACCGGUACUAAUCGGCCGAGGGCUUGGAUUU
rnacentral:ncRNA from 1 species